GGGGAUAUAGCUCAAUUGAUAGAGUGCUUGACUCCCAUGCCCAAGACCCUGGGUUCAAUCCCCAGCACCACCA
rfam:Ictidomys tridecemlineatus contig072721, whole genome shotgun sequence.